AUUGCUUCUCAGCCUUUUGGCUAAGAUCAAGUGUAGUAUUUGUUUUUUUAUCAGUUUAAUAUCUGAUACAUCCUCUAUCAGAGGACAAUAUAUUACAUUUAUUUUUGGAGCAGAGAGAUGGAAUAGGAGCUUUCUCUGUCCACUCUGCACAUCAACCCGUAUUGCAGUACUUCUGGGAACGAUGCACCAAAA